CAGAUUUUCAGCGAAAUGGCAAGAUGGUGCUCAGCCGUGCAGAGCAUAUCGCUUGAAGCCCUCAAAGCGGCUUUGGGGGAUCUCAAGCAAGCGCCAACCGACGCUAGGGCUCACCUUGAGCACGGUUUGGAGAAGCUCCUGAAGGCUUGUUCCAAUACGCUGAAGGUGCUUACAAUCAUCGGCUGCGACAAUGUGCUUACAGACAGG